GGGCAGAUGACUGAAAGCAAGGGAGAAGUGUCUGCCGUAGUUGGGCUUGACUUGCCAACUGGGCUGGAGACCUAGAGAGAAUGAAAAGGGAAGGGUGAGGCAGUUGGAAGGAAAAGCAAACCAAGGCAUAUCCUUAAAAAGUCACGUCAACUACUCUUUCUGGGCCUCAGUUUUCUCAUCCAUUAAGUGGGAUUAUUGCAGUACCCACCUCACAAGGAUGCUGGGAGGGUUAAAUCCUUAGCCUGUGUCUGGCACUUAGUAAGCCCUUUGUAUUACUAUUACUAUUAUUAUAGUUAUUCCUAUUUAGGAUAGAAGGUGGAAAAAAAUACUGAAAUAAAUUUUUUAGUGUUUGGGAUUAAUUAAAAUUUUCAAGAUUUUCAUAUGAGUUAUUUGCUCUUAUAAAGUACCAGUAAAAAUGAGAUCCCUUGUUAAUUUUACAGCAAAUAAAAAAUAACUUCAAUUGCUUGAUGGCUUUUAGGAGGCAGGCCUUGUAAUAGGUGCUUUCUAUUUCUUUUCACCUUUCAUCCCCAGCUCCUUUCCAUGGUGGGAGGUUUACAGGUGGGGAAACUGAGGCUUAAAGAAACUGAAUCAUUGUGAUAACCAAGCCUAUAGCUGCUCUCUGAUUUUCUGCUAAGUGGGAGAUAAAAGUCUUCCCACUUGCCACCCCCCCCCCCAGUCUGAUUCUGUGCGUGGGAAUCACGAGGAAGAAUGCGAGGGGCUAGAUGGCUUUGUUUUCCACCACGCUUGGUACACAGUAGUUGCAUAAUAAAUAGUUAUGGGAUUGCGUUGAGUUGAAUUGCUCAAGUGAGGAAGGCCUGCGAACCCAGCUCUAACCUGUGACCCUAAUCACUUUGCUUUCCAUCUCCAGAUAAUGACAGCCGCUUGUAUUAAUGUUCCAGAUGCCAGGGAGACACCCUGCCUCAUGGAAGCUACCAGUGAUCGGCUUUGAGAAUGUAAGCAGCUUGCCCAAGAUCAAAUACCCAGCUCUAUCUACAAAGUCUCAGACCUCCCAGUUGAUGCCCAUCUUUGCCUUACCUUCAGGACCCAAAGGAGCUUGAAGAGGGAUCUCAGUCAACCCAGUUUCCCCAUCUGUGACUUCAGUUCACCUCUACAACAUCCCUUCCAAGUGAUCACGCUGCCGACACUCAGCAAGGUCAAGGAUACAACGCAGAGUGUCUCAGGGUCCACACAGGGGGCCAUCGGUAGCUUAGUUUGGCUAGGGCAUGCAUAGAAUGAGAGAGAAUGACAGGAACUAAUGUCGGGAGGCAGGAGAGGGGCAGAUUGUGUAACAAUAAUAAUAAUAACAACAACAACAAUCAUGACUGAAAUAAUAACAGGAAUAAUAGCAAACAUUUCUUAAUCACUUACCGUUUGCCAGGAAGCUUUCCAUGCAGUAUCUCACCUCCCUAAAUUGUCCCCCUGCCCUGUGAUAGAGGUCUUCUUAUUCUCCCCAUUAAAAUGAGGGAGUCCUAGAGAGAUUAAACAACUUAGCCAAGAUCACACAGUGAAGGCCAGAGACAGGGUUUGAACUCUGACUCGCUGACGCCGAAGCUGCGUCACUUCCAUACUACACUCUUCAUAGAAUCCUAAAGCUCGGGAAAGUCAUAGAUCAUCUCAAUAAGCCAUUUAGGUUUUCCAAUAUUAAAACUUUUGAAUAGAGAUGCUGUAAUAGUAUAUCAUAGAAAUGAAAAGUUUGCCUGCCCAAAUUUUCAAAAUUAUAUUACACUACAGAAACCCACUCUGCUCUUUUUGCCUUCUUUUGCAGAGCCCAAUGUACUUGCAAUAAAGGGAAUUGUGAAUCCUGAAUGUUGGUGGUUUUGCACAACUUUUCACUCACCUGAUAUUUUUCCCAGCAGUCAUUCAUAUUACAAUGGUUUUAAAAAAAUUAGUAGGUCAAAUAAGGUAUUGAAAGGGGAGCCAUUACAUAUGCUCAAUGGUUUUCUGUGUUAAAAAUGAUAAACUUGGCAUUCUAUUGUGAAGGAGAAUUAUCAUUCGCAAGUAAUAAGUGAUCGUAUUUGUUAACGCUCCUUCGGUGGGCGUCAGCGCUUUUCUAUGAAUAUUCCCAGAUCAUCAGCAGAAGGUGCUUCCUGGCUUUAUGGUGAGAAAAGUGAACGUGGGUAAUGGCCCCAUGCUGGGUUGAAUGCCCUGCUGCCGCCAUCUUAAAAUUGUUAAUAAAUUUGGAACAAGUGGCUCUGCAUUUUCACUUCGCACUGAGCCCCCCCAAAUUACAAAGCUGAUCCUGCCCAUCUCGGUUCCUCAUUCCUCAUGUGCCCCCAGUGCCACUGGCUUUUCCUGGGAUCCAGGAAUGAGCUCAUCUCCUGAGCCCCAUCCUCGGCCUCCGACCCCCUCCCUGAUCAUAUCCGCCUAUGCUGCCCGGGUGUGGAAACGUCUUUUUCUCCUUGGUUCAGUUGAGAAAGUAACAGCACUUUAUAAAGGGGCUUUUCAUCAGAAAACUUAGAGGAAAACAAAUUUUAAAGCACAAAAAUAAACGGAUGCACACCAGUGUUCAUAGCAGCAUUAUUCACAAUUGCCAAAAGGUGGAAGCAGCUCAAGUGUCCACCGCCAGAUGAAGGAUAAACAAAAUGUGCUCUCUCCGUACAAUGGAGUAUUAUUCGGCUGAAAAAAGGAAUGAAGUUCUGAUACAUGUGGCAACAUGGAUGAACGUAGAAGACAUCAUGUUGAGUGAAAUA